CAGUAGGAUAGGCGAAGCGUGCUGUUGGAGUGCACGUCCAAGCAGUGAGAUUGAGUGUUAGGCAAAUCCGGCACUCUUAAGAUUGAGCUGUGAUGGGGAGAGGAACUUGUUCCUCGAGUCGUUGAUUUCACACUGCCGAGAAAAGCCUCUAGCUAGAAUAACGGUGCCCGUACCGCAAACCGACACAGGUAGUCAAGAUGAGAAUUCUAAGGUGAGCGAGCGAACUCUCGUUAAGGAACUCGGCAAAAUGACCCCGUAACUUCGGGAGAAGGGGUGCUCUUUGAGGUUCACGCUUCGAAGAGCCGCAGUGAAUAGGCCCAAGCGACUGUUUAUCAAAAACACAGGUCUCUGCUAAACCGUAAGGUGACGUAUAGGGGCUGACGCCUGCCCGGUGCUGGAAGGUUAAGAGGAGUGGUUAGCGCAAGCGAAGCUACGAAUCGAAGCCCCAGUAAACGGCGGCCGUAACUAUAACGGUCCUAAGGUAGCGAAAUUCCUUGUCGGGUAAGUUCCGACCCGCACGAAAGGCGUAACGAUUUGGGCACUGUCUCAACGAGAGACUCGGUGAAAUCAUAGUACCGGUGAAGAUGCCGGUUACCCGCGACAGGACGGAAAGACCCCGUGGAGCUUUACUGUAGCCUGAUAUUGAAAUUCGGUACAGUUUGUACAGGAUAGGUAGGAGCCUUAGAAGCGUGAGCGCUAGCUUACGUGGAGGCAUUGGUGGGAUACUACCCUAAUUGUAUUGGAUUUCUAACCCGCAGCACUUAUCGUGCUGGGAGACAGUGUCAGGCGGGCAGUUUGACUGGGGCGGUCGCCUCCUAAAGAGUAACGGAGGCGCUCAAAGGUUCCCUCAGAAUGGUUGGAAAUCAUUCAUAGAGUGUAAAGGCAUAAGGGAGCUUGACUGCGAGACCUACAAGUCGAGCAGGGUCGAAAGACGGACUUAGUGAUCCGGUGGUUCCGCAUGGAAGGGCCAUCGCUCAACGGAUAAAAGCUACCCCGGGGAUAACAGGCUUAUCUCCCCCAAGAGUUCACAUCGACGGGGAGGUUUGGCACCUCGAUGUCGGCUCAUCGCAUCCUGGGGCUGUAGUCGGUCCCAAGGGUUGGGCUGUUCGCCCAUUAAAGCGGUACGCGAGCUGGGUUCAGAACGUCGUGAGACAGUUCGGUCCCUAUCCGUCGUGGGCGUAGGAAAUUUGAGAGGAGCUGUCCUUAGUACGAGAGGACCGGGAUGGACAUACCUCUGGUGUACCAGUUGUCGUGCCAACGGCAUAGCUGGGUAGCUAUGUAUGGACGGGAUAAGUGCUGAAAGCAUCUAAGCAUGAAGCCCCCCUCGAGAUGAGAUUUCCCAACUUCGGUUAUAAGAUCCCUCAAAGAUGAUGAGGUGAAUAGGUUCGAGGUGGAAGCGUAGCGAUACGUGGAGCUGACGAAUACUAAUCGAUCGAAGACUUAAUCAA
rnacentral:rRNA from 1 species